rnacentral:rRNA from 1 species
CAACCUGCCGAUAACUCGGGGAUAGCCUUUCGAAAGAAAGAUUAAUAUCCGAUGGUAUAUUUUCUCCGCAUGGUGAGAAUAUUAAAGAAUUUCGGUUAUCGAUGGGGAUGCGUUCCAUUAGUUUGUUGGCGGGGUAACGGCCCACCAAGACCACGAUGGAUAGGGGUUCUGAGAGGAAGGUCCCCCACAUUGGAACUGAGACACGGUCCAAACUCCUACGGGAGGCAGCAGUGAGGAAUAUUGGUCAAUGGACGAGAGUCUGAACCAGCCAAGUAGCGUGAAGGAUGACUGCCCUAUGGGUUGUAAACUUCUUUUAUAUGGGAAUAAAGUGUUCCACGUGUGGGAUUUUGUAUGUACCAUAUGAAUAAGGAUCGGCUAACUCCGUGCCAGCAGCCGCGGUAAUACGGAGGAUCCGAGCGUUAUCCGGAUUUAUUGGGUUUAAGGGGAGCGUAGGUGGAUUGUUAAGUCAGUUGUGAAAGUUUGCGGCUCAACCGUAAAAUUGCAGUUGAAACUGGCAGUCUUGAGUACAGUAGAGGUGGGCGGAAUUCGUGGUGUAGCGGUGAAAUGCUUAGAUAUCACGAAGAACUCCGAUUG